GACUGGGAUAACUCCGGGAAACCGGGGCUAAUACCGGAUAACUCAGUUCCUCGCAUGAGGAACGGUUGAAAGGUGGCUUUUUGCUACCACUUACAGAUGGACCCGCGGCGCAUUAGCUAGUUGGUGAGGUAACGGCUCACCAAGGCGACGAUACGUAGCCGACCUGAGAGGGUGAUCGGCCACACUGGGACUGAGACACGGCCCAGACUCCUACGGGAGGCAGCAGUAGGGAAUCUUCCGCAAUGGACGAAAGUCUGACGGAGCAACGCCGCGUGAGUGAAGAAGGUUUUCGGAUCGUAAAACUCUGUUGUUAGGGAAGAACAAGUGCCGUUCAAAUAGGGCGGCACCUUGACGGUACCUAACCAGAAAGCCACGGCUA
rnacentral:rRNA from 1 species